rnacentral:lncRNA from 1 species
GGACUGGUUUAAAAAAAUCCUUCUCUUUUGAUUUGACUGAAAGGAAAAGCCUUGGUACCAGUGUUCUGAAAUAAUACUUGCCCUUCUCUGCUUCUCUCUCUUGACUCCAUAAAGAUCAUGAGGAUAGGAAGGAUACAGAAGAGGAGAUCUCCUCAGGCUGCUUAUUUUGAUGACAGAAAAGAAAAAAGGAGGAGAAAUAGCAGGUAAAAAGGAAAGAGGACCAAAGAGGCAAAAGAAGUGAUUAUACUUGGAGAAAAAGAAAGAGAAUAUCGUCUGCUCUUUCUGAUGGUGUUCUGAGACAGAUCUGUCACAUGGUUCUGAUUUGGGAUUGGAAUGGAAUGAGACAUCCGUAGACCAUCUAACAAAGAAGAAAUUUAUUUAACUGUAGUAUGGGCAGCAUAUUCAGAGCUGGGCAGACAAGAAGGGAAAACGCUCGGGAAUUUCCUGGAUGUUCAAGAACCCCAGGAAAGGUGGGGAACCUGGGACUGGUAUGUAACUUUUGGUGAUAUUCAUUAUGGCCUUAGUAUCUAUUCACCGGAUGGCAAGCUGAUAAGUGAGUUUGAUAACAUACAAUGCUGUAGUGACUGAUCUUAUUGGUAUGAUCCUUCAUUAGUAUACAUUCCAGUCCCAUUCUCACUUCCCAUUCUAUGCCAUUCUUGUUUGUCUUUUUCUAAAUCACUGAAUCAAGAAUGGGAAAUGAACUCAGCAUUUAGUUUAACAACCUCAUUUUGCUGAUAAGGCGAAGUGAGAUUGACCCCACAUCCUCCACUUAGUGACACCUUUCAUCUAACAAAGAAAAUAAAAGCAACCAAUAUGAUGAAUAUGUUUAAUACCAUAUACAGCAGUCCAUAUUCACAAUUCCCUUG